rnacentral:rRNA from 1 species
AGAGUUUGAUCCUGGCUCAGAACGAACGCUGGCGGCGUGCUUAAUACAUGCAAGACGAACGAGGACACCCUUCGGGGUGAGCCGAGUGGCGAACGGGUGAGUAACGCGUAGGUAAUCUGCCCUUUGGUUUGGGAUAACACUUCGAAAGGGGUGCUAAUACCGAAUAUAAUUAUUUUCGCAAAAGCGUUGAUAAUGAAAGGAGGCCUCCACAAGUAUGCUUUCACCAAAGGAUGAGCCUGCGUCCCAUUAGCCAGUUGGUAGGGUAAAAGCCUACCAAAGCUAUGAUGGGUAGCCGGCCUGAGAGGGUGAUCGGCCACACUGGAACUGAGAUACGGUCCUGACUCCUACGGGAGGCAGCAGUAUGGAAUCUUGCGCAAUGGGCUAAAGCCUGACGCAGCAACGCCGCGUGAGCGAUGAAGCCUUUUGGGGCGUAAAGCUCAAACGGAUAGGGAAGAAUUGGGUAAAGGAUAAUAUUCUUUACUCUUGACGUUGUACCUAUUACGGAGCUCCGGCCAACUACGUGCCAGCAGCCGCGGUAACACGUAGGGAGCGAGCGUUGUUCGGAAUCACUGGGCGUAAAGGGUGUGUAGGCGGUUCAGUAAGUUAGGAGUGCAAGCCCUUGGCUCAACCAAGGAAUUGCUCUUAAAACUGCUAGACUUGAGUACAGGAGAGGAAGGCGGAAUUCCUAGUGUAGCGGUGAAAUGCGUAGAUACUAGGAGGAACACCGGUGGCGAAGGCGGCCUUCUGGACUGUAACUGACGCUGAAACACGAAAGCUAGGGGAGCAAACAGGAUUAGAUACCCUGGUAGUCUUAGCUGUAAACGAUGGGCACUAGGUGUAGCGAGUAUCGACCCUCGCUGUGCCGUAGCUAACGCAUUAAGUGCCCCGCCUGGGAAGUACGUCCGCAAGGAUGAAACUCAAAGGAAUUGACGGGGGCCCGCACAAGCGGUGGAGCAUGUGGUUUAAUUCGAUGCAACGCGAAGAACCUUACCGGGGUUUGACAUACUUAAUGACAGAUAUAGAGAUAUAUCCUUCCCUUCGGGGACAAUUUGUACAGGUGCUGCAUGGCUGUCGUCAGCUCGUGUCGUGAGAUGUUGGGUUAAGUCCCGCAACGAGCGGAACCCCUAUCCUUAGUUGCCAACAGGUUAGGCUGGGAACUCUAGGGAAACUGCCGGUGAUAAACCGGAGGAAGGUGGGGAUGACGUCAAGUCCUCAUGGCCCUUACGCCCCGGGCUACACACGUGCUACAAUGGCUGGUACAAAGGGCAGCAAUACUGCAAGGUGGAGCUAAUCUCAAAAAGCCAGUCUAAGUUCGGAUUGGAGUCUGCAACCCGACUUCAUGAAGGUGGAAUCGCUAGUAAUCGUGGAUCAGCACGCCACGGUGAAUUCGUUCCCGGGCCUUGUACACACCGCCCGUCACACCAUGAAAGUUGGUUGCGCUUGAAGUCGGUGGGCUAACCCUUUCGCAAGGAAGGGGGGCAGCCGCCUAAUGCGUGACCGAUAAUUGGGGUGAAGUCGUAACAAGGUA